AGUCGAACGAUGAACUGGAGCUUGCUCCAGGGAUUAGUGGCGAACGGGUGAGUAACACGUGAGUAACCUGCCCUUGACUCUGGGAUAAGCGCUAGAAAUGGCGUCUAAUACCGGAUACGAGCUUCAGCCGCAUGGCUAGGAGUUGGAAAGAAUUUUGGUCAAGGAUGGACUCGCGGCCUAUCAGCUAGUUGGUGAGGUAAUGGCUCACCAAGGCGACGACGGGUAGCCGGCCUGAGAGGGUGAUCGGCCACACUGGGACUGAGACACGGCCCAGACUCCUACGGGAGGCAGCAGUGGGGAAUAUUGCACAAUGGGCGAAAGCCUGAUGCAGCAACGCCGCGUGAGGGAUGACGGCCUUCGGGUUGUAAACCUCUUUUAGUAGGGAAGAAGCGAAAGUGACGGUACCUGCAGAAAAAGCACCGGCUAACUACGUGCCAGCAGCCGCGGUAAUACGUAGGGUGCAAGCGUUGUCCGGAAUUAUUGGGCGUAAAGAGCUCGUAGGCGGUUUGUCGCGUCUGCUGUGAAAUCUGGGGGCUCAACCCCCAGCCUGCAGUGGGUACGGGCAGACUAGAGUGCGGUAGGGGAGAUUGGAAUUCCUGGUGUAGCGGUGGAAUGCGCAGAUAUCAGGAGGAACACCGAUGGCGAAGGCAGAUCUCUGGGCCGUAACUGACGCUGAGGAGCGAAAGCAUGGGGAGCGAACAGGAUUAGAUACCCUGGUAGUCCAUGCCGUAAACGUUUGGGAACUAGAUGUGGGGGCCAUUCCACGGUCUCCGUGUCGCAGCUAACGCAUUAAGUUCCCCGCCUGGGGAGUACGGCCGCAAGGCUAAAACUCAAAGGAAUUGACGGGGGCCCGCACAAGCGGCGGAGCAUGCGGAUUAAUUCGAUGCAACGCGAAGAACCUUACCAAGGCUUGACAUAUACCGGAAACGUCCAGAGAUGGUCGCCCCGCAAGGUCGGUAUACAGGUGGUGCAUGGUUGUCGUCAGCUCGUGUUGUGAGAUGUUGGGUUAAGUCCCGCAACGAGCGCAACCCUCGUUCUAUGUUGCCAGCACGUUAUGGUGGGAACUCAUAGGAGACUGCCGGGGUCAACUCGGAGGAAGGUGGGGAUGACGCCAAAUCAUCAUGCCCCUUAUGUCUUGGGCUUCACGCAUGCUACAAUGGCCGGUACAAAGGGCUGCGAUACCGUAAGGUGGAGCGAAUCCCAAAAAGCCGGUCUCAGUUCGGAUUGAGGUCUGCAACUCGACCUCAUGAAGUCGGAGUCGCUAGUAAUCGCAGAUCAGCAACGCUGCGGUGAAUACGUUCCCGGGCCUUGUACACACCGCCCGUCAAGUCAUGGAAGUCGGUAACACCCGAAGCCGGUGGCCUAACCCCUUGUGGGAGG
rnacentral:rRNA from 1 species